UACGUAGGGGGCAAGCGUUGUCCGGAUUUAUUGGGCGUAAAGAGCGUGUAGGCGGCCAGGUAGGUCAGCUGUGAAAACUCGAGGCUCAACCUCGAGACGCCGGUUGAAACCAUCUGGCUAGAGUCCGGAAGAGGAGAGUGGAAUUCCUGGUGUAGCGGUGAAAUGCGCAGAUAUCAGGAAGAACACCCGUGGCUAAGGCGGCUCUCUAGUACGGUACUGACGCUGAGACGCAAAAGCGUGGGGAGCGAACAGG
rnacentral:rRNA from 1 species